CAGUAGCCGCGGUAAUACGGAGGGGGCUAGCGUUGUUCGGAAUUACUGGGCGUAAAGCGCACGUAGGCGGCUUGGUAAGUUAGAGGUGAAAGCCCGGAGCUCAACUCCGGAAUUGCCUUUAAGACUGCCGAGCUAGUAGGUGAGAGAGGUAAGUGGAAUUCCGAGUGUAGAGGUGAAAUUCGUAGAUAUUCGGAAGAACACCAGUGGCGAAGGCGGCUUACUGGCUCGUUCUAGACGCUGAGGUGCGAAAGCGUGGGGAGCGAACAGGAUUAGAUACCCGCGUAGUCCCUGUCUCUUUACA
rnacentral:rRNA from 1 species